UACGUAGGGACCAAGCGUUGUUCGGAUUUACUGGGCGUAAAGGGCGCGUAGGCGGCUAUUCAAGUCAUCUGUGAAAUCUCCGGGCUUAACUCGGAACGGUCAGAUGAUACUGCUUUGCUAGAGUACAGAAGGGGCAGUCGGAAUUCUUGGUGUAGCGGUGAAAUGCGUAGAUAUCAAGAGGAACACCUGAGGUGAAGGCGGGUUGCUGGGCUGAUACUGACGCUGGGGCGCGAAAGCUAGGGUAGCAAACGGG
rnacentral:rRNA from 1 species